AUGAAAACCGGCCCAGCCCUGACCCUGCAGCUCUGGGAUAGAAGUCCCAGCCUUGGGAUUCCCAGGUGUCUUAAUUCAGUGAUCAGGACUGAACAAACAGGAUUCACCAUGGAGUUUUUGCUGUGCUGGGUUUUCCUUUUUGCUUUAUUAAAAAAUGAUUCACGGAGAAGUGUCCAGUGUGAGGUGCAGCUAGUGGAGUCUGGGGGAGGUUUGGUUCAGCCCGGGGGGUCCCUGACACUCUCCUAUGCAGCCUCUGGAUUCACCUUCAGUAGCCAUGACGUAUACUGGGUUCGCCAGGCUCCAGGGAAGGGUCUGGAGUGCGUCUCAGCUAUUAAUUCUAAUGGUGUCACAUACCAGGAAGACUCUGUGAAGGGCCGAUUCACCAUCUCCAGAGAAAAUGCCAAGAAUUCUGUGUAUCUUCAAAUGAACAGCCUGAGACUGGAGGACACGGCUGUGUAUUACUGUGCGAGACACAGUGAUGUGAAUUCAGUGUGAGCCCAGACACAAGCCUCCCUGCAGAAACGUUGCAGGGAAAUCAGCUGCAGGGGGCGCUCAGGAGCCACUGAUCAAAGUCAACCCCAGAGGCAGGUGCACACGGAGGCUGAUUUCCUGUCAGGAUGUGGGACUUCAUCAUUUUACAGUUUCUCUAGGGAUCCUCACCAAGUUUAG